rnacentral:rRNA from 1 species
GACGAACGCUGGCGGCGUGCCUAAUACAUGCAAGUAGAACGCACAGUUUAUACCGUAGCUUGCUACACCAUAGACUGUGAGUUGCGAACGGGUGAGUAACGCGUAGGUAACCUGCCUGGUAGCGGGGGAUAACUAUUGGAAACGAUAGCUAAUACCGCAUAAUAUUGAUUAUUGCAUGAUAAUUGAUUGAAAGAUGCUAUUGCAUCACUACUAGAUGGACCUGCGUUGUAUUAGCUAGUAGGUGAGGUAACGGCUCACCUAGGCGACGAUACAUAGCCGACCUGAGAGGGUGGUCGGCCACACUGGGACUGAGACAAGGCCCAGACUCCUACGGGAGGCAGCAGUAGGGAAUCUUCGGCAAUGGACGGAAGUCUGACCGAGCAACGCCGCGUGAGUGAAGAAGGGUUUCGGAUCGUAAAGCUCUGUUGUAAGAGAGGAACGGGUGUGAGAGUGGAAAGUUCACACUGUGACGGUAUCUGACCAGAAAGGGACGGCUAACUACGUG